CCCUGUAGAAGGAUGAUGCUUUCUAAAGGAGGAUUUUGCUCUGGCAUCUUUUUCCAUGGAGGCCUGCCUAAAAGAGGACAAGGGGCAACACUAGCUAAAGCAUCUUUCAACCUUUCUGUGCCCCAUUUCACUGUGUUGUGGCACAUAAAGAGAUGUCACUCCAGAAAGGUAAAAAGAACUGCAUUUUAAAAGAGGAAGCUGAAUGCAGCAGCUGUUCCAGAUGAAUAAAACAUCCUGGAUAUUAUCUACAUCAUUAUUCUCAUUACAGUCAGUAUAUUGGUGCAGCUGUUAAAACAAUUGAAUAUGAACAAGUAAGCACCCUAAAAUACCUCCUUAAAACCUGAUCUUUCAUCUGGAGCAGAGGUCUCAAAAGUACAGCUCACGGGCCACAUCUGACCUGCCUGGCCCUUUUAUCCGGCCCAUAUCUGUGUGUGUGCGGGCAGGCAAGC